UACGUAGGGUGCGAGCGUUAAUCGGAAUUACUGGGCGUAAAGCGUGCGCAGGCGGUUGUGUAAGACAGAUGUGAAAUCCCCGGGCUCAACCUGGGAACUGCAUUUGUGACUGCACGGCUCGAGUGCGGCAGAGGGGGAUGGAAUUCCGAGUGUAGCAGUGAAAUGCGUAGAUAUGCGGAGGAACACCGAUGGCGAAGGCAAUCCCCUGGGCCUGCACUGACGCUCAUGCACGAAAGCGUGGGGAGCAAACAGG
rnacentral:rRNA from 1 species